UACGGGGGGGGGCAAGCGUUUGUUCGGAAUUACUGGGCGUAAAGGGCUCGUAGGCGGCCAACUAAGUCGGAUGUGAAAUCCCCAAGCUUAACUUGGGAACUGCAUCCGAUACUGGAUGGCUUGAAUCCGGGAGAGGGAUGCAGAAUUCCAGGUGUAGCGGUGAAAUGCGUAGAUAUCUGGAGGAAUACCGGUGGCGAAGGCGGCAUCCUGGACCGGCAUUGACGCUGACGGAGCGAA
rnacentral:rRNA from 1 species